rnacentral:rRNA from 1 species
AAUCAACGCUGGCGGCGUGCCUAACACAUGCAAGUCGAACGCGAAAGCCCCUUCGGGGGUAAGUAGAGUGGCGUCCGGGUGAGUAACACGUAGGUAAUCUACCUUCGGGUGGGGAAUAACUCGCCGAAAGGCGAGCUAAUACCGCAUAAUGCAGCGGCACCUAAUGGUGAUUAGUUGUUAAAGCGGGGGAUCGUAAGACCUCGCGCCUGAAGAGGAGCCUGCGGCAGAUUAGCUAGUUGGNGAGGUAAUGGCUCACCAAGGCUUCGAUCUGUAGCUGGUCUGAGAGGGCGCACGGCCACACUGGAACUGAAACACGGUCCAGACUCCUACGGGAGGCAGCAGUGGGGAAUUUUGCGCAAUGGGGGAAACCCUGACGCAGCAACGCCGCGUGGAGGAUGAAGUCCCUUGGGACGUAAACUCCUUUCGACCGGGACAUAAUGACGGUACCGGUGGAAGAAGCCCGGCUAACUUCGUGCCAGCCGCCGCUGUAAC